rnacentral:rRNA from 1 species
GAGGAGAAUCAUUCGCAAUGGGCGCAAGCCUGACGGUGCGACGCCGCGUGAGGGAUGAAGGCCUUCGGGUUGUAAACCUCUGUCAGGAGUUAGGAACGGCGAGGGCGCGAACAGCGCCUUCGAUUGACUGGCUCCAGAGGAAGCUCCGGCUAACUACGUGCCAGCAGCCGCGGUAAUACGUAGGGAGCAAGCGUUACUCGGAAUCACUGGGCAUAAAGGGCGUGUAGGCGGGUGCGCAAGUCCGGUGUGAAAGCCCCCGGCUCAACCGGGGAAGGCCAUCGGAAACUGCGUGUCUUGAGUGCGGGAGGGGAGAGUGGAACUCUUGGUGGAGCGGUGAAAUGCGUAGAUAUCAAGAGGAACGCCGGCGGCGAAAGCGGCUCUCUGGCCCGUAACUGACGCUGAGGCGCGAAAGCCAGGGGAGCAAACGGGAUUAGAAACCCCAGUAGUCC